rnacentral:tRNA from 1 species
AAAUUUAGGAUAUUACUAAACCAAGGGCCUUCAAAGCCCUAAAAAAGGGACCCCCCCUUAAUUUCU